GUCUAUGGCCAUGCCACCCUGAACAAGCCCGAUCCUGUCUGAUCUUGGAAGCUAAGCAGGGUCGGGCCUGGUUAGGACUUGGAUGGGAGACCACCUAGGAAGACCAGGUGCUGUAGGCG
rnacentral:rRNA from 1 species